UGACGUCAGCGCGCCGCGCCCUGUCAAGAGCGGGCAUUGUUUCGCCCGUGUCGCGGCCGCCGAUCCGGAGCUGCCCGGCUUUAGGUGACAGCCGCCAUGAGCAAACGCAAGGCGCCGCAGGAGACACUCAACGGCGGCAUCACGGACAUGCUCGUGGAACUCGCAAACUUUGAGAAGAACGUGAGCCAGGCCAUCCACAAGUAUAAUGCGUACAGAAAAGCAGCAUCUGUUAUAGCAAAGUACCCACACAAAAUCAAGAGUGGAGCAGAAGCUAAGAAAUUGCCGGGAGUAGGAACAAAAAUUGCUGAAAAGAUCGAUGAAUUUUUAGCAACUGGAAAAUUGCGUAAACUGGAAAAGAUUCGACAGGAUGAUACAAGUUCAUCUAUCAAUUUCCUGACUCGAGUUAGUGGCAUUGGUCCAUCUGCUGCAAGGAAGUUUGUAGAUGAAGGCAUUAAAACAUUAGAAGAUCUCAGGAAAAAUGAAGAUAAAUUGAACCAUCAUCAACGAAUUGGGCUGAAAUAUUUUGAGGACUUUGAAAAGAGAAUUCCUCGUGAAGAGAUGUUACAAAUGCAAGAUAUUGUACUAAGUGAAGUUAAAAAAGUGGAUUCUGAAUACAUUGCUACGGUCUGUGGCAGUUUCAGAAGAGGCGCAGAAUCCAGUGGAGACAUGGAUGUUCUUCUGACCCACCCAAACUUCACCUCAGAAUCAAUCAAACAGCCAAAGUUGUUACAUCGUGUUGUGGAGCAGUUACACAAAGUCCAUUUUAUUACCGAUACUCUGUCAAAGGGUGAAACAAAGUUCAUGGGUGUGUGCCAGCUUCCCAGGAAAAAUGAUGAAGAGGAGUAUCCACACAGAAGAAUUGAUAUCAGGUUGAUUCCCAAAGAUCAGUAUUACUGUGGUGUUCUCUACUUCACUGGAAGUGACAUUUUUAAUAAGAAUAUGAGAGCUCAUGCCUUAGAAAAGGGCUUCACAAUCAAUGAGUAUACCAUCCGCCCCUUGGGAAUCACUGAUGGAGCCUAGGGCACUGUGCACGCUAAGCCUCCACCACGGGCACACCCAGGCCAGGUUACCAUUUCUUCAUCUUCUGAAAGAGUUGCUGGAGAGCCCCUUCCGGUAGAUAGUGAGCAAGACAUUUUUGAUUACAUCCAGUGGAAGUACCGAGAGCCCAGGGAUCGAAGUGAAUGAGACCAUCCCCCCACCAACCCCCCCUAGGCAUGCCCACCAUUAGUCCUAAUUUAUUUCUUAACCAUUGCUAUGUAAGGGUAUUUGGUGUUUUUAAAUGAUUGCUGCUUCUCUAUGCUUACCAUGUACUGUAGUCAAUAAAACUUCUUGAGCUGUUACUGAAUGUUAUUCUUAUUUUCUUAGCAAAUUUGUUGAUGAUCAUAGUUUAUUAUGGGUUUGAUAGAAAGAACCAGAGACAAUGGCAGAUGCUUAAUGGGAAUUUCUAUUUCUGCCUUAUGCUGCAACUACAUUGUUCUUCUUCUAUCUGUCCCCUAUUUACUCAUUACAGUUUAGUCAAGGGACUCCCAGAGGUUACAGAACCAUCCAGAAUUUGGUUCUGUAUUCUUUAGAGACUAGGGACUGUCAUAAAUUCACCUUUUUCUUUGACCCAUUUGUAUUAUAUACUAAUAACUGUGCUUUUAUUUCACAAGUGAAAACUAUAGCAUGGGGUUGGAGACCAUUAGCAAGGGCCUCCCUAUGCAACCCACUUCUACGAGGAAUAAAGUUGGCUUCUUAAACC